CUCAGGAACAAGAUCUCCUUGCAUUUAGCUUGAGGAUCCUGUUUCGAGCGAGAAUAUGCGCAAGCAUGUUCUCAAUGUUACUUUGAGCAAACUGGAGGGCUCCAGCCGGGUAUUAUGCCUUUACAGCUCAGCAUGGAAUAACAAGCUAGGAUUUUAAUCCAUCUUGUUGGUAACAUGGAUUAAAGUAAUGGUUGAUAAGGAUGUACGGGGACAUUCGGACUUGCUGGAGAGAGGUGAAAUUCUAAGACCCAGCAAAGACGAACAAGUGCGAAAGCAUUUGUCCAGUACUUGCCUGUUAAUCAAGGACGAAAGUUGGGGGAUCGAAGACGCUUAGAUACCGUCGUAGUCCCAACUAUAAACUAUGCCGACUGAGGAUCGGUGGAUGUAUCAUAACUCCUUCGGCACUUCAGGAGAAAUCUAAGUCUCUGGGCUCUGGGGGGAGUAUGGUCGCAAGGCUGAAACUUAAAGGAAUUGACGGAAGGGCACCACCAGGAGUGGAGCCUGCGGCUUAAUUUGACUCAACGCGGGGAACCUCACCAGGCCCAGACAUUGUUAUGAUUGACAGAUUAAGAGUUCUUUCUCGAUUCUAUGGGUGGUGGUGCAUGGCCGUUCUUAGUCGGUGAGGUGACUUGUCUGGUUAAUUCCGACAACGGACGAGACCUCGACCUACUAAUUAACAGCAUUCAUUUCGAUGGAUAUUUGUUACUUAGGGGGACACUG
rnacentral:rRNA from 1 species